AUCAAUCCAUCGCUGGCUCACUACUGAGAACGGGUCACGGGUGUCCUCUCAAUAUGAGAUGGGUUUGGCCACAGCCUACCACGCUGGCCAAGUGCAGAUUGGCAGGUUUCACACACCUUUGAUAACAUUAUGGAGAACUCUCAGGCAUGCACGUUUUCUCACGACGUUUU